UUUUAAUUCCCUUUUCUUCCAAAAUUAAUUUUAAAUAGCUCCUUUAAUAUUUUUUAGUCCAACUUUUUUUCAUAAUUUCAUAAAAAUAUUUUCUAUCACAUACUAUUUAAAAUCAUUUUUGCAUUAAAUGUUUAUUUUCUUUUAUUUUUCACUUAAUUUUCUUUUUGUAUUUUCAUUUUAAUCAUUUUAAAACCUUUUUGACCCCAACUUUUGAGGUCAAACUUCUCAUAUUUUUGUUGACCUUCCACGUUUUUCUUAGACUUUUAUUUGAUGCUUUGAUAUAUCUUUGAGAUUUUUCCUUUUAUUUUUCUUUAUUUAAUCAAUAUUAAAUCAUUUAAGUCAUUUUUAAUUCAUUUUUUGUUGACCACUUGUUAUUUUGAGUUUACUUUAUUGCUUGGUUGAUGUUUUCUUCCUCAUCUCAAAUCAUUGAUAGAUGGACUUGAGGUUUAUCAACCUUC
rnacentral:lncRNA from 1 species